rnacentral:lncRNA from 1 species
AGGUAACGUCACUUUAGAAGACUCGCUGGAGAGUACUGGACCUGUAAACGUACGUAUACAAGUUUACAUAUGUGAAAGCUCUGUAACAUACCGCGUACUCACAAGUUGACACGCUGUUAAAAAACAAUCAAACUGGAAGGAGGUUCAAGUGGUUUAAUUAGGUUGAACAAGUGAGCAGUAAGAUAAAUCAAGGGGAAACAAGGAGGGGGUUGAAUUAUUGGCGCAAAAAAGAUAAGAGGUCUGAUUCUGAUAGAAUAGAGAGCAGUGACACAAGGCAACCGGUACAUAUAUGGAGAGAUGGAGAGUAACGUAAAGUGGGGUAGGUGCGGUGAAUGAGUCAGGUCACGAGAAUCCUCAUUUUUCUACUUACCCAACUUAUUCCAGUU